GGCGGAAUAGCUCAGUUGGCUAGAGCAAGCGGUUCAUACCCGCUAGGUCGCUGGUUCAAGUCCAGUUUCCGCUA
rnacentral:tRNA from 1 species